AUUGUUCACUAAAUGACUCAAAGGCACCAAAUCCUGCCUGAUCUUGGAAGCUAAGCAGGGUCAGCCAUGGUUAGGAUUUGGAUGGGAGGCCAACAAAGAAUCCCAUGUGUUGGAGGCUC
rnacentral:rRNA from 11 species